CGUGAACAAUGGAUGGAGAAAUUCCCUUUGCAAUGAAUCCUCUUUCCUCACAGUCGGUCCUCCGGGGAACAUGUCAGCACCUUCUGGGACCCCGGAGGAGUCUUUUCUUGAGAAAGAAGCAGCGGUGGUGCUUUGCCUCCAUUUAGGAGUUUUCUUUGCUGAGGCUCCCAAAAUUUAACCAGUCUUAGAAAGCGGUGGAUCCCAUGUGUGGCCUCUCACAAGGAGAAAGAAGAAAAAGAAAAGCAACCAUGCACCUGACCCGUAGCUACCCUUUUUCAGGAUGAGAGGCUCACAUCCGGAAUAUCACAGUUGGGGCUUCAUAAGGCACCCCUGCACCCCUGUUUCCUGGAAUCUACUGAGAGAAAAUGGCAGACCAGCCAAGAUAUUUGACUGAGGAAAGCCUUCUCCACGGUUCCUGUAAGCUACGUGGAUUACCGGUGAGGCCUCACCCAGCAAUCCGGAGCAGGAAGUACAGAACACCCCAGAGGUCGCCUGCACACAACUAACUGAAACCCUCAAUUCAGCGGAUUGGCUUCCACCUUCAAGAGAAAAGCAAAUACUAAGAAAAUCAGUUCCCCCCUGGCACUGACCCUCUUUUCUUUCUGUAAUAGUCAGAGCACCCUGGCGGCGCGGCGCACAGGCACGGACACCUGCUGCAGCCUUGGGGCAGGGCGGCGCAGCGGACAGGCAGUUGGCACAGCAUCAGGGUCUCCAUGCCAGCACCACCACGCACAGGCUGUCAGCUUGGCGAGCUACCCCCACUCUCAGAGUCUUGAUUUCUUGGCUACGCAUUGGGGAUUAGAAAAAAUAAUAACCUGAUAUCCAGCAGAGGCUUGUUGAGAGGAUUAGAGGUCUGUGCAACUGCUCACCUGGGAGCCACUCAACAGGAGUGAGUUCCCUUUCUUAAUACCUGCAGAUAGUGGUCCUUGUUCCAGGCAGAAGGGGCCCUGGGCUGGCCCUAAGGAAGCUUUGAUGAUGGCCAGCCGACUGGUCCGGGUAACAUCAGCCUAGGGGGUUGUGUUUUCCCCAAGGUGGGGAAUUCCAGUUAAGGUUUUCUGUGUUUUGAAGGAACAAUGGAAACAAAAUAGAAGCCUAAAGACUUCCGGGGGAGCCUCAGAAUAAGCAGCGACAGCUGUUCUCUUUCAGGAGAUGUCAGCGCCCUCUCUUGGGGGAGCUGCGUUGACUCGGUCCCUCGUGGGAUUCGCGGGUCCUCUCAGCAUCCUUUCAAAUUAGAACCCCAGCGCUACUUCUCCCAGAAACGUUCUUCCUCAUUUCUUCAUCAGAGUCUUGCAUAUCUUUGUUCUCCUCUCUUCCAUCCAAAUCAUUCUUUCUCUCUGGUUUCGUUGGGUCUUCGACUAGUAUCUCCAAGCUGCAGUCCUAGUUUCUAAAUUUAUAACUCAGUCCAAACCUUCAAAGAACUGAUUCUCUAAGAGGAUUAUGUUUAUCCCUCUGUCACUAAGGGCCUUCCUUCUUACCUCUUAGCAGCCGCAGCGUACGUAGCACAGCGGUUAAGAUCCUGGACUCCACUGCCAGGCCGGCUGGGGUAGGGGUCCCACCUCCACUCAGCCCUCCAGUUGUGUGACCUCGCACAAGUUACUGAACCUCUCUGUGCCUCAGUUUCCUCAUCUGGGAAACGAGGCUGAUUGCAGAAACCACCUGGAGCGAUUGUUGUAGCAUUGAGUGAGUUAACACCUAACGCGCUGAGAACAGGCCGUGAUGUGUUAAGAGCUGUUCGCCACCAUGGGUUUUCCAAGGCUACUCUCUCUCACAGCACUCAUCACACUUGACUUGUGGGGUCACCCACCGGGUGACCCAAACACCAGGGCAGUGUUUCUGCAGUGUGUGCAGUAAAAGCAGAGUAAUCUGGGCCACACUCAGGAACGUAUGUUGUUAACACGGAGACACGGCGAUUUGGAGGCAGGGGGUCCACGGCCUCAUUUUUAGAAGUGCUGCUGCACUCAGCUGUGAGCCGCCAGGGUGGUGACUGCCCCAUCGUCCGGGACACACCCCCCCCCCACCUGCAGGGAGUGAGCUCCUGGCCCCCCC
ensembl:lncRNA